rnacentral:rRNA from 1 species
UGAAUACGAGAUGCUACGGCGUCGAAGCAGUCUAUGUCAUACUUCCAAGAAAAGCUUGCACUGUCAUAAACAAAUAAUGCCUGUACCAUAACCGACACAGGUGGGUAGGUAGAGUAUACUAAGGGGCGCGAGAUAACUCUCUCUAAGGAACUCGGCAAAAUGACUCCGUAACUUCGGGAGAAGGAGUGCCUUAUUUAUAAGGUUGCAAUAACAAGAUCCAAGCAACUGUUUACCAAAAACACAGGUCUCCGCUAAGUCGUAAGACGAUGUAUGGGGGCUGACGCCUGCCCAGUGCCAGAAGGUUAAAGAAGUUGGUUAGCAUCCGCGAAGCUGAUAACUGAAGCCCUGGUGAACGGCGGCCGUAACUAUAACGGUCCUAAGGUAGCGAAAUUCCUUGUCGGGUAAGUUCCGACCCGCACGAAAGGCGUAAUGAUUUGGAUACUGUCUCGGAGAGGGGCUCGGUGAAAUAGACUUGUCUGUGAAGAUGCGGACUACCUGCACCAGGACAGAAAGACCCUAUGAAGCUUUACUGUAACCUGAAAUUGAAAUUGGACUUUACUUGCGCAGUAUAGGUGGGAGGCGUUGAGAAUAUUCUUGCGGGAUUAUUGGAGCCAUCAGUGAGAUACCACUCUUGUAAUGUUAGAUUUCUAACUUUGCAUCAUUAUCUGGUCAAAGAACAGUUUCAGGCGGGCAGUUUGACUGGGGCGGUCGCCUCCUAAACGGUAACGGAGGCGCACAAAGGUUUCCUCUGAACGGGUAGAAAUCGUAUCUAGAGUGUAAAGGCAUAAGGAAGCUUGACUGUGAGACCUACAAGUCGAGCAGGGACGAAAGUCGGUCUUAGUGAUCUGACGGUGCUGAGUGGAAAGGCCGCCACUCAACGGAUAAAAGUUACUCUAAGGAUAACAGGCUGAUCUCCCCCAAGAGUUCACAUCGACGGGGAGGUUUGGCACCUCGAUGUCGGCUCAUCGCAUCCUGGGGCGGUAGUACGUCCCAAGGGUUGGGCUGUUCGCCCAUGAAAGCGGUACGCGAGCUGGGUUCAGAACGUCGUGAGACAGUUCGGUCCAUAUCCGGUGUAGGCGUUAGAAUAUUGAGAGGAGCCUUCUUUAGUACGAGAGGACCGAGAAGGACAUACCUCUGGUGUACCAGUUAUCGUGCCAACGGUAAACGCUGGGUAGCUAUGUGUGGAGUGGAUAACCGCUGAAAGCAUCUAAGUGGGAAGCCCACCUCAAGAUAAG